rnacentral:rRNA from 1 species
AUUGAACGCUGGCGGCAGGCCUAACACAUGCCAGUCGAGCGGAUGAAGGGAGCUUGCUCCUGGAUUCAGCGGCGGACGGGUGAGUAAUGCCUAGGAAUCUGCCUGGUAGUGGGGGCUAACGUCCGGAAACGGGCGCUAAUACCGCAUACGUCCUGAGGGAGAAAGUGGGGGAUCUUCGGACCUCACGCUCUCAGAUGAGCCUAGGUCGGAUUAGCUAGUUGGUGGGGUAAAGGCCUACCAAGGCGACGAUCCGUAACUGGUCUGAGAGGAUGAUCAGUCACACUGGAACUGAGACACGGUCCAGACUCCUACGGGAGGCAGCAGUGGGGAAUAUUGGACAAUGGGCGAAAGCCUGAUCCAGCCAUGCCGCGUGUGUGAAGAAGGUCUUCGGAUUGUAAAGCACUUUAAGUUGGGAGGAAGGGCAGUAAGUUAAUACCUUGCUGGUUUGACGUUACCAACAGAAUAAGCACCGGCUAACUUCGUG